rnacentral:rRNA from 1 species
CCCUUAGACGUUCUGGGCCGCACGCGCGCUACACUGACGAAGGCAACGAGCUUUCCUUUACCGAAAGGUACGGGUAAUCUUUUGAAACUUCGUCGUGCUGGGGAUAGAUCCUUGCAAUUUUUGAUCUUAAACGAGGAAUGCCUAGUAAGCGCAAGUCAUCAACUUGCGUUGAUUACGUCCCUGCCCUUUGUACACACCGCCCGUCGCUACUACCGAUUGAAUGGUUUAGUGAGAUCCUUGGAUCGGCCCUGUCGCGGCUGGCAACGGCCGCGUCGGCGCGUCGAGAAGACGAUCAAACUUGAUCAUUUAGAGGAAGUAAAAGUCGUAACA